GUGAUAGCAAACAUAUGCUUCUGGGACUUUCCAAUGGAUCCUUGUACAGUAUCUCUUGGAAGGGAGAGUUUAUUGGGGCUUUUGAACUUGAUCCAUAUCUACAUGAGAGCAGUGAAGUCUCUAUGUUACCACGCUCUCUAGUUAAUGGCCUUGGUUCUGGAGGGGCCCCAGGGGUCGUUUUACCCAAUUGUUAUGACACAAGGAAGCCUGCCAUUACACAGCUGGAGCUUUGCUUGCCAAUAAGGUUGCUAUUUGUUUUAUAUUCUGAGGGCC
rnacentral:misc_RNA from 1 species